rnacentral:sRNA from 1 species
AUGCAUUGAUUUUAAUAAGACAAUUUACAUCGUAUACAUUAUUCUUAGUUUUUGGGCAAAACAUUUUUCAUUAUAU